AGUGAACGCUGGCGGUAGGCCUAACACAUGCAAGUCGAACGGCAGCACAGGAGAGCUUGCUCUCUGGGUGGCGAGUGGCGGACGGGUGAGGAAUACAUCGGAAUCUACUUUUUCGUGGGGGAUAACGUAGGGAAACUUACGCUAAUACCGCAUACGACCUACGGGUGAAAGCAGGGGAUAUUCGGACCUUGCGCGAUGGACUGAGCCGAUGUCGGAUUAGCUAGUUGGCGGGGUAAAGGCCCACCAAGGCGACGAUCCGUAGCUGGUCUGAGAGGAUGAUCAGCCACACUGGAACUGAGACACGGUCCAGACUCCUACGGGAGGCAGCAGUGGGGAAUAUUGGACAAUGGGCGCAAGCCUGAUCCAGCCAUACCGCGUGGGUGAAGAAGGCCUUCGGGUUGUAAAGCCCUUUUGUUGGGGAAAGAAAUCCAGCUGGCUAAUACCCGGUUGGGAUGACGGUACCCAAAGAAUAAGCACCGGCUAACUUCGUGCCAGCCGCCGCGGUAA
rnacentral:rRNA from 1 species